AGCAACUUUACAAAAACAUGCAAAUGCAAAGAAACAUGCAUGAACUGCAAACAUGUACAUUUUUAAAUGUAAAAAAUAUUACGUUACUUGUUGUAGCAAGUGUCACCUUGGGCGAGUGUACCAAAAUAGGAUUCAGAUAUACAAUUAAACAAAUGUUUAAUUUCAAUUGUUCUUUUGUUCAGUUUAUCCAUAUAAUUGUAAUAAUA
rnacentral:lncRNA from 1 species